rnacentral:rRNA from 1 species
GAUGAACGCUGGCGGCGUGCCUAAUACAUGCAAGUCGAGCGAACAGAUGAGGAGCUUGCUCCUCUGACGUUAGCGGCGGACGGGUGAGUAACACGUGGAUAACCUACCUAUAAGACUGGGAUAACUUCGGGAAACCGGAGCUAAUACCGGAUAACAUGUUGAACCGCAUGGUUCAACAGUGAAAGACGGUCUUGCUGUCACUUAUAGAUGGAUCCGCGCCGCAUUAGCUAGUUGGUAAGGUAACGGCUUACCAAGGCAACGAUGCGUAGCCGACCUGAGAGGGUGAUCGGCCAAACUGGAACUGAGACACGGUCCAAACUCCUACGGGAGGCAGCAGUAGGGAAUCUUCCGCAAUGGGCGAAAGCCUGACGGAGCAACCCCGCGUGAGUGAUGAAGGUCUUCGGACCGUAAAACUCUGUUAUUAGGGAAGAACAAAUGUGUAAGUAACUAUGCACGUCUUGACGGUACCUAAUCAGAAAGCCACGGCUAACUACGUG